CUAAGACAUUCUGCUUAUGUUACUUUUUAUGCAUAUGGUUUAACAAGAAAUAAUACUUUAUUCACCCGGUGCCCAGUUCAUUUCCUGUGUGUGUUGCUCUAGUGGUCUGAGUUAAUACUCUUUCCCUCUCUCCCUCAUGUGCUAAUUUAUAUAAUUAGGGAGUGAUAGAUGCCAGAAUAUUGAGACUCAUGAAAGGGGAGGGAGAAAACUGCUUAUGGCUAUCCACCAAACUAGAUACCUUAGCUACAAUGUAGAGAGAAGCAAAGCAGAAGAAGGUCCCAGAAAUCCUCAGGAAGCAAAAUCCAAAAAAGGAGUUAUGGCUAUUUGGUUUUGGUUCAGACCUGUGUGUUCCAGUGGUAUAGGGAGCCCACGUGAGGAAAUUCCCCCUACUAUCAAAUAUCAGCAACCGUUUUGUAGUUAUGAAAAGAGCUGGGAGGUUAAAUGAGUUGUCUUGAGCCACACAGCUGGUAUGUGUCAAAGGUGUCUUGAACCCAGGUCUUCCUGUCUCUAAGAUUAUCAAGAUAUUGCAGAACCACUCCCAGAGUCUAAUCAGACUCCUUAUAUGAUUCCCUCUGAUGAGAAAGUUCACAUGAAUCAUCUCUCCACAUUUGAAUAUUUACAGAAUCACAUGUGAAUGGAAACGUCUCCUCCACAGUUUCUAUGUCUUCAAUGAAAUAGAAGUAAAGUGAAUGCCAAUUCAAGUACCAAUAUUGUGGUGAACACAUUUUUAUUUAGUCAUACUGCAUUUCUUUUAAAUCCUUAGUGGUUUAUAGUUAAUCACAUAAAUGAUAUGGGUGUUAUGGUUUUUUUUAAUUAAAAUAUAUACACAGUUGCAGUCAGUGAUUGAGAAAGAUUGAGAAAGAAAUUAUGAAAUGAAAUGGACUGUUCUUGUGGUAUACACUUAAACAGGGCAAACAAGUUUAGCUCUCCAUAAAGGAACUGCAUUUAUAAAUUUCAGCAUUAAAUUCACCACUGCUUUGCUGACUAAUAAAAUGGAGAAUGUGUGCUUUUAUUGGUUUAUAAAAAAGGCAAGCCAUAGUUUCAUGAAAAAUAUCUUUCACUGACUGAGUACAGGUGGCUACUUGUUUAGACUUUGAAGAUGGAAAGGCUUAGUAUAGAUGACUGAAAAAGGUAAUAUGGCACAAUAAAAAAAUCUUCCUUUCUUUGCUCAUCAAUCCUUUGGGUAUUCCAUGUCAAAUAAAUGCUACAACAAUUUACAGGAAAAGUACACAGUGGGAGUGCCAACAUUAACACUUCUUAGGCUUGGAUGCCAGCCAGAUGUUUCACACCAAUAUUUAACGUGAACUAAAAUGCCUUUUCCAUUGGAAGUGUGAGCUGGAGCUCACUUUCCUAUAUUUGGCAACAUGCUUAUGUGAAGUAUGAAGUCAAAUGCCCAUGAUGCUCUCUUUAU